GAUGAACGCUGGCGGCGUGCCUAAUACAUGCAAGUCGAGCGAACGGACGAGAAGCUUGCUUCUCUGAUGUUAGCGGCGGACGGGUGAGUAACACGUGGAUAACCUACCUAUAAGACUGGGAUAACUUCGGGAAACCGGAGCUAAUACCGGAUAAUAUUUUGAACCGCAUGGUUCAAAAGUGAAAGACGGUCUUGCUGUCACUUAUAGAUGGAUCCGCGCUGCAUUAGCUAGUUGGUAAGGUAACGGCUUACCAAGGCAACGAUGCAUAGCCGACCUGAGAGGGUGAUCGGCCACACUGGAACUGAGACACGGUCCAGACUCCUACGGGAGGCAGCAGUAGGGAAUCUGCCGCAAUGGGCGAAAGCCUGACGGAGCAACGCCGCGUGAGUGAUGAAGGUCGUCGGAUCGUAAAACUCUGUUAUUAGGGAAGAACAUAUGUGUAAGUAACUGUGCACAUCUUGACGGUACCUAAUCAGAAAGCCACGGCUAACUACGUG
rnacentral:rRNA from 1 species